rnacentral:snRNA from 1 species
AGCUUUAUGCAGUGGCAGUAUCAUAGCCAAUAAACUGAUCCAAGGCAUGAUUAUUGCUAAUUCAAUGUAAACUUUGAACACCUAAGUAUGGG